UACGGAGGGUGCAAGCGUUAUCCGGAUUCACUGGGUUUAAAGGGUGCGUAGGUGGGCAAGUAAGUCAGUGGUGAAAUCUCCGGGCUUAACCCGGAAACUGCCAUUGAUACUAUUUGUCUUGAAUACUGUGGAGGUCAGCGGAAUAUGUCAUGUAGCGGUGAAAUGCUUAGAUAUGACAUAGAACACCAAUUGCGAAGGCAGCUGGCUACACAAAUAUUGACACUGAGGCACGAAAAGCGUGGGGAUCAAAACAGG
rnacentral:rRNA from 1 species